rnacentral:pre_miRNA from 1 species
AGUGGAGUUGCUGGAUCAUAUGGUCAUCUUACAUUAAAGUUUUUGAGGAUCUGUUAAAUUGUUUUCCAAAGUAGCUGCACCAUUUUACAUUGCCACCAACAAU